GAAAGCGAAGGAGGGAGAGAGAGAGAGAGAGAGAGAGGUGUCAGAGUGUACGGUUAGAAUUAAUAACAUUAGAGUUAUUAUUAUUUUUAUUAUUAAAUCUACUUUAAACAGUGUACUGUGAGAUUAUAAGCGUUCCCGGUCUGCUUUUAGACGAUGUUCUUGUCAAACUGUAACGGGUUUUCAAGCAAGACGCUUGACGGAUGCUAACCGCUAAGCUACAGGAGAGCUCGAGUGAACCGUGAAGCUUUUCAAGGUGCGAGUCAAUCUGCAUCGCUUCUUCGGUCUGAACAAGAGAUAAAAACCUCGCGGCAUGAUUGAAUUGGUGGUUGUCUGUUAAGAAAUAUGAGCAGGUUUAUUCAGGUUAUUUAAACCUAUAUCAUGGAACUAACCCAGCUACUGAUGGGUUCAUUCUCAGUUGUGGCCCCAAGCCUGGACAAAAUGGGAAGGUUGUGCCAAACCUGUGCCAAAUCAAACAUGCAGACCAGACGAACCACUCUGGUGACCCCAAACAGGGAGGAGCCGAAAGAACAUCGUUAACGUUCAGCUGAAUGCCUGUGGAAGGUUUGAGCAGACAUUAAAGCACAGGUCAACCUCGCAAAAAGCAACGCCUACAUUAUAAAGGAUGCCUGUAAAAACAUAUGAGCAGAUGUUAGAGCACGUGGAUGCUUGUCUUUAUCAGAUGUAGAUGGGUUCCUGUGAAGAAUUAUAAUCGUAAGCUGAAGAGAUAUUGACCCUCCAUAAAAACGGACUUUACCUAACCACGUAACACACACAUAUAUUCUGUUCCACCCUGAUUUUUAAACUCUUACUACAGCUGCACCACAAAAUAAUGUCCUGAACAACCGUAAUUAUGUAAAUAAUAUGUUUCUUAUGCUGAUUGUCAUGACCUGAGAUUUGCUGAGGGACUGAAAUGUAAAGAUUUCGGCUUUUAAGGAGAUGUUAAAUAGUUGUUUGGCUUUUCUGUGAUUUCUUGUGUAAAACAUUCAAACAAGGAAAAAACAUCUGGGUUAUUAUCAUAACAUUCAUCAUAACAUAUCAUAUUAUCAUUCUUUUAAUUUUUUCUAACUUUUCCUUAGUUUGUCUUUCUAUCUAGAAUUUUACAAUAUUCCUUUUUUUUCAGUUUGAUUAAUUACAUCACAAGAGUCUAAAUUUUCAUGGUUCACUUGAAUUAAGAGCAUUUCUGUCAAAAUGUGCAGUUUGUUAUUGAAUAGGAAAACGAUUUACUUAAUAUUUAUUAAAUAAAUCGUGUUUAUGAAAUAAAUGUAAUGUAAUUACUUUUAACUGUUAAAUACAGAAAUGCAGCCGUUAUUAGGAUGAAAGAACAUAACGGACAUAUAAUAUAUUAUAAUUUCAAUACUAAAAUUAAGACCAUAUAUGAACAUGAAGUGUAUCAAUGUAAUUCAUGCACAAUGAGACACACACAGUACUCACAACUGAAUUUAAAAACAGAAUGAAAAAUCUAUUUUUCAGCAUUUUCCAAAACAAUACUUUGCUUUUAUAACAAACCUUUAGCAGAGUUAAGUUUAAAACAUUACGUAAUGAAUCUGAACACAUUUCUAAUUUUCAGAAUAUAUAUAUUUUUUUCAAUAAUUCACCUUAUUCUUAUGAAGUUAUUUAGCAUUAACAGAAAUGUACAAAUCAGUUGUACAAAAAACAAACAAACAUAAAUCUGAGAAUGUUAAAGGAUCUUACUUGGCUUUGAGGGAUGCCUGUACAAUGGCGCUUAGGAAAAGCAAAAGAAGCAUGCAUGUUAUUCUAGAAGGACCCAUUCUGGAGCAGAAUCGAGCACGAUCCAGGUAAGAUGAUCCUAGAGCACUUGUGGUAUAUAUUAACCUUUACCCCACCCAUAUAUAUUUCAGUUUGUGUUUUGCGAGCACCGCCCAAUUCUAUCACUUCUGGCCUUGCACUGUAUGUUCACAUCACAUGCCUCACCAUAUCUGUCUAAUUUUAGUUAUCAUUAGUGUUUAUUCAGCGAAAUAAAACAUAUGAUAAAUAGAACCAGCUUGACAUAAGAAAGUAAAACAGAUAAAUUGAUUUUUUUUUUCUUUUUUGUCUUAUUAGAUUUAUACAAUAUCACAGCAUACAUUUUUAUUAUGGCACAAACACAAGACUUUCAGAGAGGUUUAUGUAUUCAGGCAUAAAUACAUAUGGUGUAGAUAUAGUUACAGAUAUUUGACUUACUGUGUGCAUUUAUUGGUAUUUCUUGUAGUGGACUUUUCUGUGGAUUUAGUUUGUUUCAAAGUAUUUAUACUUUCUGGUUAUAUAUAUAUAUAUAUGUGUGUAUGUGUGUGUGUGUGUGUGUGUGUGUAUCUAUGUGAGAGAGAGAGAGAUUUACCAGCUUCAUGAAAUAUUUGGACAUACUAAGAGUGUUAUGUUAUGAUUAACAUACUUUAAUAUUGAUAAAUUGUAUAUUGAAUAUAUGACUUAAAGCUGAUCUGUACGUACUGUAUGUGGUGCUGUCGCUCACAUUCCCACAGUAUAUAUUUGUUAAGAUUUUUUGAUGCCUUUAAUAAGCUGGUCAUUCAGUUUAUAUGUGUAUUUUUGUGUAUUACUGUCUGCAAGUGUAUUGUGUUCAUUUUCUUUUCUUUUAAUUCUC